rnacentral:rRNA from 1 species
CACGCCGUAAACGAUGAAUGCUAGGUGUUGGAGGUAUUCACCCCUUCAGUGCCGAAGCUAACGCAUUAAGCAUUCCGCCUGGGGAGUACGGCCGCAAGGUUAAAACUCAAAGGAAUUGACGGGGGCCCGCACAAGCGGUGGAGUAUGUGGUUUAAUUCGACGCAACGCGCAGAACCUUACCCAGCCUUGACAUCCCAGGAACCUGUAUGAAAGUACGGGGUGCCCCCUCACGGGGGAGCCUGGAGACAGGUGC